UUUCAACCAACAUUAUAUUUUAUUAAGAUAUCCACUCUCUAAAAUGAUCAUCAACUAUUAAAUGUAAUCAGUAACUCAUACUGAAGAAUGAAGAUAUAAAUGGUUAUAUAUUUUGAAUAUUCAACAAUAAGUUAAUCAAAGUCGGUUUCUGCUACAAAGUUAUUUAUACCCAUUCCAAUCCAAUUUUGGUGAUAGCGAAACACUCAUCCUAAACAAUUCUUAUACAAAUCUAAGUAAUAGUGCAUCAUAUCAUUUUCACAUUAUCAGAACAAUGUUGUCAAAUAGUUAAUAGUUUGUCUAAUUCUUGUCAAAAAUAACAAAAACUAAUUAAACAUCCAAUCAUUUUACAUAGAGGAUAAACUGGACUGGAGGUAAAUGUCGAGGGGGUCUCGUAACUGAUGCAAAGAAGGUAUUGUAUCUGAAGUUAACAGAUAAACUUCCAUUUAUGCCAUUACACCGUUGAAGGAUAAAUGAAAAUGUUUUUACCCAAGAAUUGAAGCUAUUCAUAUUGAAUUCACAAAAAUUAUAAUUUAAAAUGUGGUUUAGUUUAAACAUAGUAUUGUUAAGGUGGGUUAUCGUUAAUGUACACGCCUAAGUGCAUAUAUAUGUAAGUAUAUCAUAUAUAUAUAUGUUAUGGGCAAUGUGAAAAAUUGAACAUUUUGCUAAAUGCUCGGGCAAUCUACAAAAUUUCCAAUAGAGUGGUAACUUAAUUUACAUUGUGAGGUAAAAUGACUGUGAGUAAUUUGAUUAUUAAACAAUUCGUUGCAAUCAAUUUGAUCAUUAAGGCUUUUUAUUAUGAUAUAAUUUUUAUUAGAAGCAAUUUGAUAAUCUAGUGCAUUUUUAUUGAAAUAUAUAUUCUAUUUAGACAAUCAAAGUAUUGCAUGAUAAGAAAUGGUCACAAGAGACGCCGUUUUAUUUUUCAAAAUAUACCUCAGCCAACAGGUUGUGCAGUUGAAAAGCUGGUCCCUAAAGGAGAUCAAAACCUAUCGCCAUCGUUAUGCUGAGUAUCAAGGACCCCUUCUAAUAUAUUAUAAUACACCCUGGUCCAGGGGUUAUGCAAGUGAACAGCUUAUCAACAGGGGGGUUCAAAACCUAUCGCCGCUAUCCUGCGUAUCAAGGACUCCUUGUAAUAUUACACUCUUAGGGCUCUGUAAAGAUAUGUGAAUCUGUGGUUGUGGUUAAUGGCCUUCAUGCAGUUCCUCUUCAACCGCAGAACUCUGGUGCCUUUUAAUACUAAAAUAUAGGCCAAAAAGAUAAACUUAUUUGUUUGGAGUUUGUGCAAUUUCACUUACUUACCCCCUUGUUCAUUUCCAUGCCACAGAAUUGAUGCAGUCAGUCGCAAUUUAACUUCCUUCUCUCUGGGAACUUCAUCAACAUAGAAGAAUGAAUCCAUGAAUGUUGCAAAUCGGUUUCUUAUAUUGAGCUGUUUUAAAAUGCAAUUUUUUGUCCCUAAUCUAUAAAAUCCAUCCUCUGCUACAUGGAUAACAUCAGCCAAGACAUAGUGGGUAUCUGUCUUUACACUGUCGAUACUUGGAACUAGGACUUUGACGCACUGUUCUACAUCAGCUUCCUUAAACUGCCUAGGGGGAGUUGAAUCAUCCUAUGUGCUUGUACUUUUGGUUUGUGAUUAGCUUCUCUCUGUUGCUCUUGACGGUGCUAAGCAGAUUGGCAAUGUUAGCACUUUAGAUAUGUCCAAUUAUCUUCAUUUUUCCCAUGGUAACACUUGAAGUUUAUGAAAGUGUGGCAUUUAAGGCUGCAGAUGGAACAAUUUUGUUCUUCGGAUAUAUAUUGUUAACAGAAUGCACAUUAUACAUAUUAUAUUAUUUAAUUAUAUAUUAGAUAUUGAUAGUCGAUAGAUAACUGAAUAAAAUGGCUAAAAUAACGUUGCCUUCUGUCUGGAUUUCUGGAAAUGGAGGCCCAGUAAUUUGGAAAUACUUACCGGACCAGAAAAAGAUGGAUUGUCGGAUUUCUCGAUAUAAAUAUGCCUUAAGUCCCCCGUCUAGAAUUAAAAACCACUCAUUAUCCUUAUCUCAUAUCAAGAGCAUGGAUAUUCAUCUAAAAAAUCAAGUUAAUGAUGAAUAUAUGAACUCAAACUUUAACUCUGAUCUCACAAAGAUGCUUAUUGCAUGUACCUUAUUCAUUGCUAAUCAUUCUAGAUUCAAAAAAAUUAUGGAGAAAUAUACGGGUAAAUCCGUCCCUCCCCAAGGAACCCUCAUUAAGUUAAUGGAGGAAGUUGGUUAUGAUGUCCUCUCCAAAAUCAAAGAAAAAGUCGAAGGGAAGGAUAUUUUUCUUGCUGUCGAUGAGAUAAAAGAUAAUCAGGAGCGAUCAAUAACUGCUCUAUUGAUUGGCUCUUUGGACGGCUAUUUCUUGGGUUGUCCAUAUCCCAUCAACGUGAUAGACAUUAAAAGUGCUAAUGCCAAGAAUAUCAUAAAUUUUGUUGUCGAGAGUAUUCAAGUUACUAUUUUUUCAUUAGUAUAUUUAUUGUCUAAUUUUAUGAUUUUGACCUUUACUUUAUUAUUAAUAAUUAUUUAGAUCUCAUCGAUAGAGAUAUAUCUAUCCUGUGCACAAUUGUAUAUUAGAUAAAAUAACUAUUAUUAAAACUUCUUAUGCCUCUAUUUAUAUAGUGACUGGUGACUAGUAUGAGCCUUCCUGUUCAAUGGACACAGGGCGAGGGUAACACAUUUGGACAUAAAAUACUGGUGGUGUAGAGUCCAUGUUUUGUCUGUCAAAUAAUUUAAAAAUUCAAAUAAAUAAUAUUAUUUAUAA
rnacentral:lncRNA from 1 species